rnacentral:rRNA from 1 species
UCAAGUGAGGUAAGGGCAUAUGGUGGAUGCCUCGGCACUUGGAGCCGAAGAAGGACGCGGCAAGCGGCGAAACGCCCCGGGGAGCCGCAAGCAGGCAUAGAUCCGGGGAUUUCCGAAUGGGGGAACCCACUCGAGGUAAUACUCGGGUAUCCAGUGAUGAACACAUAGUCAGUGGAGGGGAACCGCGCGAACUGAAACAUCUAAGUAGCGCGAGGGAAAGAAAGAAAAGAAUCGAUUCCCUAAGUAGCGGCGAGCGAAAGGGGAGGAGCCCAAACCUGACACGAAAGUGGCAGGGGUUAGGACCCACCGUAGAAGUGGGUGAGUACUCUAGGCGAACGGACCUGGAAAGGGCGACCAAAGAAGGUGAAAGUCCUGUAGUCGAAAGGGGAAAGCUUGCUGGUGGGGACCAGAGUACCACGGGAUAGGCGACCCUGUGGGAAGGCGGGAGGACCACCUCCCAAGGCUAAAUACUACCAAGUGACCGAUAGCGGAUAGUACCGUGAGGGAAAGGUGAAAAGAACCCCGGGAGGGGAGUGAAAUAGAACCUGAAACCAUAUGCCUACAAGCAGUCAGAGUCUGCGAGAGAGCAGAUGAUGGCGUACUUUUUGUAGAACGGGCCGGCGAGUUACGGUAGCAAGCGAGGUUAAGCGUUAAGCGGAGCCGAAGCGAAAGCGAGUCCGAAAAGGGCGAGAGUUUGCUGUCGUAGACCCGAAACCGUGCGACCUACCCAUGGCCAGGGUGAAGCCGGAGUAAGAUCUGGUGGAGGUCCGAACCACGUUGGCGUUGAAAAGCCAUGGGAUGAGCUGUGGGUAGAGGUGAAAUGCCAAUCGAGCACGGAGAUAGCUGGUUCUCCCCGAAAUAGCUUUAGGGCUAGCCUCAGGGCAGGGUCUAUGGAGGUAGAGCACUGAAUGGGCUAGGGGCCAAGGAGGUUACCGAACCCUAUCAAACUCCGAAUGCCAUAGGCAAACACCUGGGAGUCAGACUACGAGUGAUAAGAUCCGUAGUCGAGAGGGGAACAGCCCAGACCCCCAGUUAAGGUCCCAAAGGGCAUGUUAAGUGGUAAAGGAAGUGGGAGUUCGAAGACAACCAGGAUGUUGGCUUAGAAGCAGCCAUACAUUUAAAGAGUGCGUAACAGCUCACUGGUCGAGAGGUCCUGCGCCGAAAAUGAACGGGGCUCAAACAUGCCACCGAAGCUGGGGCUACCGCGGUAGCGGUGGGGUAGGGGAGCGUACUGUAGGGGUAGAAGGUCAAGCGUAAGCGAGGCUGGACUGUACAGUAGAGAGAAUGCCGGCAUGAGUAACGAGAGUAAGGUGAGAAACCUUACCGCCGGAAGCCUGAGGUUUCCUGGGGAAGGGUAAUCCACCCAGGGUAAGUCGGGACCUAAGCCGAGGCGAGAGCGUAGGCGAUGGGGAACCGGUAGAUAAUCCGGUACCACCGAGGGCCGUCAAGAGAAGUGGGGACGCAGCGAGAUAGGUGGAGCGUGCGGCUGGUAGAGCACGUCCAAUCAGUCACCGAAGGGUACGUAGGCAAAUCCGCGUACUAGCAGGGGGCUGAGAAGGGGAGCCGAAAGGCGAAGGCACCGAAGCAGCUGCCGAGAAAAGCCGCUAUCGAGGUCUGAGGUGCCCGUACUGCAAACCGACACAGGUAGGCGAGGAGAGAAUCCACAGGCGAGCGGGAGAACCCUCAUUAAGGAACUCGGCAAAAUGACUCCGUAACUUUGGGAGAAGGAGUGCCGAAAGGCCGCAGAGAAGAGGCCCAAGCGACUGUUUAGCAAAAACACAGGUCUCUGCUAAGCCGAAAGGCGAAGUAUAGGGGCUGACGCCUGCCCGGUGCUGGAAGGUUAAGGGGAGGGGUAAAAGCUCUGAACCGAAGCCCCAGUGAACGGCGGCCGUAACUAUAACGGUCCUAAGGUAGCGAAAUUCCUUGUCGGGUAAGUUC